rnacentral:rRNA from 1 species
UACGUAGGGUGCGAGCGUUAAUCGGAAUUACUGGGCGUAAAGCGUGCGCAGGCGGUUCGUUGUGUCGGCGGUGAAAGCCCCGGGCUUAACUCGGAGCCUGCAGGCGAAACUGUGGUGCUGGAGUGUGGGAGAGGUGCGUGGAAUUCCCGGUGUAGCGGUGAAAUGCGUAGAUAUCAGGAGGAACACCGGUGGCGAAAGCGGCUCUCUGGACCACAACUGACGCUGAGGCGCGAAAGCUAGGGGAGCAAACAGG